GUUGCUCCGUCAGACUUUCGUCCAUUGCGGAAGAUUCCCUACUGCUGCCUCGGUAGGGCCCUACCGAGGCAGCAGUAGGGAAUCUUCCGCAAUGGACGAAAGUCUGACGGAGCAACGCCGCGUGAACGAAGAAGGCCUUCGGGUCGUAAAGUUCUGUUGUUAGGGAAGAACAAGUACCAGAGUAACUGCUGGUACCUUGACGGUACCUAACCAGAAAGCCACGGCUAACUACGUGCCAGCAGCCGCGGUAAUACGUAGGUGGCAAGCGUUGUCCGGAAUUAUUGGGCGUAAAGCGCGCGCAGGUGGUUCCUUAAGUCUGAUGUGAAAGCCCACGGCUCAACCGUGGAGGGUCAUUGGAAACUGGGGAACUUGAGUGCAGAAGAGGAAAGUGGAAUUCCAAGUGUAGCGGUGAAAUGCGUAGAGAUUUGGAGGAACACCAGUGGCGAAGGCGACUUUCUGGUCUGUAACUGACACUGAGGCGCGAAAGCGUGGGGAGCAAACAGGAUUAGAUACCCUGGUAGUCCACGCCGUAAACGAUGAGUGCUAAGUGUUAGAGGGUUUCCGCCCUUUAGUGCUGCAGCUAACGCUUAAGCAAUCCGCUGGUAGAACGGCCGC
rnacentral:rRNA from 1 species